rnacentral:lncRNA from 1 species
UGCGAGAGCCUGCUACUCACCUUUUCAUCAUCGCACGCUACUUCCAUCCUCCUCCUCCUCCACCCACCUCUCCAUUGCUUGCCUCUUUGUGCCGCAUGCCACCUCCUUUUUUUUCUCCUCUUCUGUCCAUCUCUCCAUCGCUUGGCUUCCCGCUGCUGCAUACCAUCCCCUUCCUCAUCCUCUUCCACCUCCACUCUUCUUCCUCUGCUCUUGCAAAGUCCCAAGCUCCCCCUCCUCUGCAAUGGUGUGAACACCCCAAUCCCCCUCCCUCCUCCUCUCUCUUCUUUUCGUCCACCCUUGGUGAUAACCCCAUCACCUCCCUCC